GGUAUGGUAUAUAUGUAUGAGACUUGUUAGGUUUUAGGCGGAGAUUUCUACUUGUUCUAUGUGGUAUGGUUCUUGAGACUUUUAUGUACUUAAAGACAUUUACAUUUGUAUGUGGUAUGGUAUAUAAGAAUUGGUAGCAUUUAUUAGGAGACAUCUAUUGUUCCUUGUGGUAGGUUACAGGAGACUUGUUAAUGUGCUUUAGAAGACAUCUACUGUUUUAUUGGUAUGGUAUAUUAGACUUUUCAGUGUUCAAGGAGACUUCUAUUGUUCUGAAAGUUAUAGGUAUAAAUAGUACAUUUGUAGAUGUUAUUAAAAUGAUAUUAGACAACAACUAAUAUGUCUGGUUUCCUGCCUCCUGUCUUAAAAAACAUCAGUAAUUUGAAAUUCUAUUUCAUUUGUUUAUCAACAAAAUCUGGAAAAUGUGAAUUGUUUUCUAUAAGUCCAAUCUUGAUUUUCACAAAUAUAAUUGCAGCACGUACAAUGUAUGAUGGUAUAUUUGUAAUUUUUGAAACGUUUGGCAACUUUUCAAUCAAUUUUUGGUCAAACUUAUUAUGAAGAAUCCAGUGAAAAAUGGAUUUGUAAUCUACUCUGUUAGAGUCAGUGAUCAGACUAAAGGUCAGUAGGGAUGCAAGAAAACAGACAUAUUUAUGUUCUAGUCUUAUAGAUAAAGAGUGCAAUAUAUUGCUUAAUAGUCUUGUUUAGAUUUGUUAAAGAACAGGAAUCCUCCUGCUUUUGGAAUUUUGUUUUUUUCUUGUCUUAAUUUCUAUCAUUAUAUGGCCUGGAAGCCAUUUUAAAUAAAUAGUAGCUUUGGCUAAAUGUUCUGACUACGUCCUAGUACUGUAUCAUAUUUAUUGCUGUUUAACAGUAACUUCACUUUGUUUUCCCCGAAAUCCAUCAAAUAUAUUGAUAGGUUAUGUAUUAUUGUUAUGGUAAGAUUUUCCUUUAAAAUGUUUAUUAGAUAACUUGUCAUUUUAUGCCCUUUUUCAGACAAUCAGUGUUCAAGGUUGUAAGGAAUUUCUUUGUGCCCAAUGAGAGGGACUUUUAUAGGUUCAAAAUGUCAAUCGGUUUAAAGCAAUUUUAACUUUUCAUCCUACCACAAAACGAGCAGUCUGGCGUACUAUAUUUAUUUUGGAUACAAUAAUAAUCCUCACUGGUAGUUUAAAUGUGGUGUACUUAAUUAAUUAGUUCUUAAAAAAGAAUGAUUUUUUAAACAUGACAUUUUGCUAUUUGUUUUAUUUGUUUUUUCUUGAACAUCAUCUGGAAAUCAUCAGAAAAAAAUGUUAUGUAUAAUACUUUCAUAUCUGUUUGAAAGUGUAAUAUUGCUAAUGUUGGGUUUUUUAAAUUCAGACAUUAUUGCGUGCAUUUAUUAUUGCGAUUUAAGGAAAAUCUGCAUUUAGAUAUAUGUAGCAGAUAUCAAUAUGUGAGUUCUUAUUACUGCGAUACUCACCCACUUGCAUUAUUGGCAUUUAUAACAGCUCACAAUAAUUUCUGAAUUUACAGAAUCAAGAAUAAAAAUUAUUUUUAUAAAUGUAUAUGUAAAUGAGUGGGACAACUAUUUUUAUCACAGUAUAGAAUUAUGUAGUGUAAAUGAAUCUUUAUUUUCUAGUUAAGCUGACAGAAAGAAACACAUUAAAAUAGGUUUCGUUAUUUAAAACUGUUAUUGAAAUCCCUCCGAUAAAAGUUUUACAUAAGUUACAUAAACAAAUUUUGACAGAUUUAUUUGUAUAAAAAAAAUGGAGAAAAUUCCUACUUUCAGUAGGUUGCUGUAUAAAACCUAGUGACUUGCUGUAUAACAUCAAGUACUACACAAUUUGAAAUGGUGAAAUAACUUUGAAACUUGAAUAAGACAACUAAUAACUUAUGGAAGUAAUUUGAUCUUAACAUAACAAAUUUUUAUUUAACAAACAACAAAGAAAUUACACAAUUAAUAUGCAGAUUUGCUUCUUUUUUUUAAUCUUAUUACAUAUAUGCUGAUAGAUUUAAGCUCAAACCAAUACUUGGACUAAAGCAGAAUAAUAGUGCUUUGGAAUGUUUAGGAUCAAUUAGGUAAGGGAAAUGUGAGUUUAUUGAUAAUGAUAUGAUGUUUUGUUUAUUUGAUAAUUAAUGAGUUUCUGUUAAUUUAUCUUUAUGCAGAAAACUUGCAUUUGAAUAUUAAAUUUAUAAGAUAAUUAUAUGAAUAUUUUUAUUUAAUUGAAGUUGCAAUUUCUAAUGGACAAGACUACAACCCAACAUGUAUCCAGUGCUUUUGUAUGUGCAUCAUUUCAAUGUAAAAAUCAUGUAAUUCUCAGAAGCUUGUAACUUGU
rnacentral:lncRNA from 1 species